GACCGACCGCUGGCGGCAUGCCUAACACAUGCACGUCGAACGAGACCUUCGGGUCUAGUGGCGCACGGGUGCGUAACGCGUGGGAACCUGCCCUUAGGUUCGGAAUAACUCCCCGAAAGGGGUGCUAAUACCGGAUAAUGUCUUCGGACCAAGAUUUAUCGCCUUUGGAUGGGCCCGCGUUGGAUUAGCUAGUUGGUAGGGUAAAAGCCUACCAAGGCGACGAUCCAUAGCUGGUCUGAGAGGAUGAUCAGCCACACUGGGACUGAGACACGGCCCAGACUCCUACGGGAGGCAGCAGUGGGGAAUAUUGGACAAUGGGCGAAAGCCUGAUCCAGCAAGGCCGCGUGAGUGAUGAAGGCCUUAGGGUUGUAAAGCUCUUUUACCCGGGAUGAUAAUGACAGUACCGGGAGAAUAAGCUCCGGCUAACUCCGUG
rnacentral:rRNA from 1 species